GUACGAGUUGAGGCUCGUAGCGGAAAGCUCAGUAACACGUGGUCAAGCUACCCUGUAGCGACGGAUAACCUCGGGAAACUGAGGCUAAUACGUCAUAACGCUCGAGAUCUGGAGUGAUUCGAGCCGGAAACGCCUUUGGUGCUACGGGAUGCAACGGCGGUCGAUUAGGUAAACGGGGGGGUAACGGCCCACCGGGCCCUUAAUCGGUACGGGUUGUGAAAGCAAAAGCCCGGAAACGGUAUCUGAAACAAAAUACGGGGCCCUACGGGGCGCACCAGGCGCAAAACCUUUACAUUGUACGGAAUUGCAAUAGGGGGACUCCAAGGGGGGGGGCAUAAAGUUCACACUUUUGUAAACCGUAAGGGGGUCUACAAAUAAAAGCUGGGCAAAACCGGUGCCAGCCGCCGCGGUAAUACCGGCAGCUCGAGUGAUGACCGAUUUUAUUGGGCCUAAAGCGUCCGUACCUGGCCAGGCAAGUCCGUUGGAAAAUCCACCUGCUCACCAGGUGGGCGUCCAGCGAAAACUGCUUGGCUUGGAACCGGAGAAUCCAAGGGGUACUUCCGGGGUAGGA
rnacentral:rRNA from 1 species